rnacentral:rRNA from 1 species
CCCUUCGGGGUGACUGCGUACCUUUUGUAUAAUGGGUCAGCGACUUACAUUUAGUAGCAAGCUUAACCAAAUAGGGGAAGCGUAGCGAAAGCGAGUCUUAAUAGGGCGUUUAGUUGCUGGGUGUAGACCCGAAACCAGAUGAUCUACUCAUGGCCAGGAUGAAGCGGGGGUAACACCUCGUGGAGGUCCGAACCCACUAAUGUUGAAAAAUUAGGGGAUGAGCUGUGGGUAGGGGUGAAAGGCUAAUCAAAUCUGGAAAUAGCUGGUUCUCUCCGAAAACUAUUUAGGUAGUGCCUCACGUAUCACCUUCGGGGGUAGAGCACUGUUAUGGCUAGGGGGCCGUUUAGGCUUACCAAACCAUGGCAAACUCCGAAUACCGAAGAGUGCAAGCGUGGGAGACAGACAUCGGGUGCUAACGUCCGGUGUCGAAAGGGAAACAACCCAGACCCUCAGCUAAGGUCCCAAAGUAUAGUUAAGUGGUAAACGAGGUGGGAAGUCGAAAACAGUCAGGAAGUUGGCUUAGAAGCAGCCAUCUUUUAAAGAAAGCGUAAUAGCUCACUGAUCGAGUCGUCCUGCGCGGAAGAUGUAACGGGGCUCAAAUUGUACACCGAAGCUAGGGAUUUACACGCAAGUGUAAAUGGUAGGAGAGCGUUCCGUAGGCCUGUGAAGGCAGCUUGUGAAGGCUGUUGGAGGUAUCGGAAGUGCGAAUGCUGACAUGAGUAGCGAUAAAGGGAGUGAAAGGCUCCCUCGCCGAAAACCCAAGGAUUCCUGUGCAACGUUCAUCGGCGCAGGGUGAGUCGGCCCCUAAGGUGAGGCAGAAAUGCGUAGCUGAUGGGAAACUGGUUAAUAUUCCAGUACCUUUAUUUAAUGCGAUGUGGGGACGGAGAAGGUUAGCUCAGCCGGGUGUUGGAUGUCCCGGUUCAAGCGAGUAGACGUGCUGCUUAGGCAAAUCCGGGCAGCUUAGUUGAGACGUGAUAACGCAACGCCUUUCGGGGCGCCAAGUGAGUAAUACCAUGCUUCCAGGAAAAUCCACUAAGCUUCAGUUGAAUAAAGACCGUACCGUAAACCAACACAGGUGGGUGGGAUGAGAAUUCUAAGGCGCUUGAGAGAACUCUGGAGAAGGAACUCGGCAAAUUAACUCCGUAACUUCGGAAUAAGGAGUGCCCUCGGUACGUGUAACGCUUUACGCGUGAAGCGGAUGAGGGUUGCAAAGAAAUGGUGGCUGCGACUGUUUAAUAAAAACACAGCACUCUGCAAACACGCAAGUGGACGUAUAGAGUGUGACGCCUGCCCGGUGCCGGAAGGUUAAAUGAUGGGGUGUAAGCUCUUGAUUGAAGCCCCGGUAAACGGCGGCCGUAACUAUAACGGUCCUAAGGUAGCGAAAUUCCUUGUCGGGUAAGUUCCGACCUGCACGAAUGGCGUAACGAUGGCCACACUGUCUCCUCCAGGGACUCAGCGAAGUUGAAAUGGUUGUGAAGAUGCAAUCUACCCGCGGCUAGACGGAAAGACCCCGUGCACCUUUACUGUAGCUUUACAUUGGGUUUUGAGAAUAUUUGUGUAGGAUAGGUGGGAGGCUUUGAAGUGGGCUCGCUAGAGCUCAUGGAGCCAUCGUUGAAAUACCACCCUGAUAUUCUUGGGAUUCUAACCUAGGUCCAUUAUCUGGAUCGGGGACCGUGUAUGGUAGGCAGUUUGACUGGGGCGGUCUCCUCCCAAAGUGUAACGGAGGAGUACGAAGGUACGCUAGGUACGGUCGGAAAUCGUGCUGAUAGUGCAAUGGCAUAAGCGUGCUUGACUGCGAGACUGACAAGUCGAGCAGAUGCGAAAGCAGGUCAUAGUGAUCCGGUGGUUCUGUAUGGAAGGGCCAUCGCUCAAC